rnacentral:tRNA from 1 species
GAGGUUGUGGCUCAGUGGUACAGUUCUCACCUAGCAUGUGCGUGGCCCUGGGUUUGAUCCUCAGCACCACA